rnacentral:rRNA from 2 species
UAGGGAAAGUUUUUCGGUGUAGGAUGAGACUAUAUAGUAUCAGCUAGUUGGUAAGGUAAUGGCUUACCAAGGCUAUGACGCUUAACUGGUCUGAGAGGAUGAUCAGUCACACUGGAACUGAGACACGGUCCAGACUCCUACGGGAGGCAGCAGUAGGGAAUAUUGCGCAAUGGGGGAAACCCUGACGCAGCAACGCCGCGUGGAGGAUGACACUUUUCGGAGCGUAAACUCCUUUUCUUAGGGAAGAAUUCUGACGGUACCUAAGGAAUAAGCACCGGCUAACUCCGUGCCAGCAGCCGCGGUAAUACGGAGGGUGCAAGCGUUACUCGGAAUCACUGGGCGUAAAGGGCGCGUAGGCGGAUUAUCAAGUCUCUUGUGAAAUCUAAUGGCUUAACCAUUAAACUGCUUGGGAAACUGAUAGUCUGGAGUGAGGGAGAGGCAGAUGGAAUUGGUGGUGUAGGGGUAAAAUCCGUAGAUAUCACCAAGAAUACCCAUUGCGAAGGCGAUCUGCUGGAACUCAACUGACGCUAAGGCGCGAAAGCGUGGGGAGCAAACAGGAUUAGAUACCCUGGUAGUCCACGCCCUAAACGAUGUACACUAGUUGUUGGGGUGCUAGUCAUCUCAGUAAUGCAGCUAACGCAUUAAGUGUACCGCCUGGGGAGUACGGUCGCAAGAUUAAAACUCAAAGGAAUAGACGGGGACCCGCACAAGCGGUGGAGCAUGUGGUUUAAUUCGAAGAUACGCGAAGAACCUUACCUGGGCUUGAUAUCCUAAGAACCUUUUAGAGAUAAGAGGGUGCUAGCUUGCUAGAACUUAGAGACAGGUGCUGCACGGCUGUCGUCAGCUCGUGUCGUGAGAUGUUGGGUUAAGUCCCGCAACGAGCGCAACCCACGUAUUUAGUUGCUAACGGUUCGGCCGAGCACUCUAAAUAGACUGCCUUCGUAAGGAGGAGGAAGGUGUGGACGACGUCAAGUCAUCAUGGCCCUUAUGCCCAGGGCGACACACGUGCUACAAUGGCAUAUACAAUGAGACGCAAUACCGCGAGGUGGAGCAAAUCUAUAAAAUAUGUCCCAGUUCGGAUUGUUCUCUGCAACUCGAGAGCAUGAAGCCGGAAUCGCUAGUAAUCGUAGAUCAGCCAUGCUACGGUGAAUACGUUCCCGGGUCUUGUACUCACCGCCCGUCACACCAUGGGAGUUGAUUUCACUCGAAGCCGGAAUACUAAACUAGUUACCGUCCACAGUGGAAUCAGCGACUGGGGUGAAGUCGUAACAAGGUAACCGUAGGAGAACCUGCGGUUGGAUCACCUCCUUUCUA